rnacentral:rRNA from 1 species
GAUGAACGCUGGCGGCGUGCCUAAUACAUGCAAGUCGAGCGAACGGACGAGAAGCUUGCUUUUCUGAUGUUAGCGGCGGACGGGUGAGUAACACGUGGAUAACCUACCUAUAAGACUGGGAUAACUUCGGGAAACCGGAGCUAAUACCGGAUAAUAUUUUGAACCGCAUGGUUCAAAAGUGAAAGACGGUCUUGCUGUCACUUAUAGAUGGAUCCGCGCUGCAUUAGCUAGUUGGUAAGGUAACGGCUUACCAAGGCAACGAUGCAUAGCCGACCUGAGAGGGUGAUCGGCCACACUGGAACUGAGACACGGUCCAGACUCCUACGGGAGGCAGCAGUAGGGAAUCUUCCGCAAUGGGCGAAAGCCUGACGGAGCAACGCCGCGUGAGUGAUGAAGGUCUUCGGAUCGUAAAACUCUGUUAUUAGGGAAGAACAUAUGUGUAAGUAACUGUGCACAUCUUGACGGUACCUAAUCAGAAAGCCACGGCUAACUACGUGCCAGCAGCCGCGGUAAUACGUAGGUGGCAAGCGUUAUCCGGAAUUAUUGGGCGUAAAGCGCGCGUAGCGGUUUUUUAAGUCUGAUGUGAAAGCCCACGGCCCAACCGUGGAGGGUCAUUGGAAACUGGAAAACUUGAGUGCAGAAGAGGAAAGUGGAAUUCCAUGUGUAGCGGUGAAAUGCGCAGAGAUAUGGAGGAACACCAGUGGCGAAGGCGACUUUCUGGUCUGUAACUGACGCUGAUGUGCGAAAGCGUGGGGAUCAAACAGGAUUAGAUACCCUGGUAGUCCACGCCGUAAACGAUGAGUGCUAAGUGUUAGGGGGUUUCCGCCCCUUAGUGCUGCAGCUAACGCAUUAAGCACUCCGCCUGGGGAGUACGACCGCAAGGUUGAAACUCAAAGGAAUUGACGGGGACCCGCACAAGCGGUGGAGCAUGUGGUUUAAUUCGAAGCAACGCGAAGAACCUUACCAAAUCUUGACAUCCUUUGACAACUCUAGAGAUAGAGCCUUCCCCUUCGGGGGACAAAGUGACAGGUGGUGCAUGGUUGUCGUCAGCUCGUGUCGUGAGAUGUUGGGUUAAGUCCCGCAACGAGCGCAACCCUUAAGCUUAGUUGCCAUCAUUAAGUUGGGCACUCUAAGUUGACUGCCGGUGACAAACCGGAGGAAGGUGGGGAUGACGUCAAAUCAUCAUGCCCCUUAUGAUUUGGGCUACACACGUGCUACAAUGGACAAUACAAAGGGCAGCGAAACCGCGAGGUCAAGCAAAUCCCAUAAAGUUGUUCUCAGUUCGGAUUGUAGUCUGCAACUCGACUACAUGAAGCUGGAAUCGCUAGUAAUCGUAGAUCAGCAUGCUACGGUGAAUACGUUCCCGGGUCU